rnacentral:misc_RNA from 1 species
ACCGCUCAUGACAGCCACAAAUAUGAAUUUAAUGAAACAAUUCCAGAUCCUCCUGAGAUGGAAAAGUUGAGACAAGAUCUUACAUCUUUAAGCUCAGCAGCAGAAAUUGCCAUAAGAAAUCAAGAGAUCUGUUAAUCAAAAUGUAUCUUGGAAAUGGACAUACUCAUGUUUUCCCCAAGCCCUCAACAAGUAUGUCAAGAAC